AAUAAAAUAUUUUGCACCAAUCUUUCGAGCUAUGUACGUUUGUGUUCGAAAAAAAUAUUUGAGGUUACAUGUUUAAAUUAAAAGUAACAAUUCAUCCUAUAUAUUAUUUCUUGCAGGAAUAACAUGUAGGAUCUUUGUAAAUAAAUUACAGAAUGUUGAAAUUAUAACAAUUAUAAAAAGUUCAUUUAUAUUAUAUAUCGUUUAUUUUAUACGUAGUAUGUAUUUUGAUUCAAAUUUGAUAAACGCAUUAUUUGAAUAAAGUUUGGCAGAUGUCGCAUUAAAUAUAUUUAUACAUUAUACAUGUACAUACACAUAUAUAAAUUAAUAACAUAAUAAAUUAAGGCUUAAAUAACAAGAUAUGUACUUAUGUAUGCCAAUAAUUAUAUUGUAUGGCAUAUAAUCAUAUUGCAAACGCUAAGAAUAAUAAAAGCAAAUAAGUGGUUACAAGAUAUAUAUAUUUAUAUACAUAUUAUACAUUAACAAAACUGAUGAAGACCAUGAUAGGUAAUAAUUAGAAAACUUCUGACUACUUUUAAAAUAAAUAUUUAAAAUACAGUGUAAUUUAAUUGUGAAUAAAGUCAAUAAUCUUUCAAAUAUCACUGUAGAAAAAUUAGAGCAAUUAUACAUAUAUAUGUAUGUAUAUGUAUGUACAUACUUUAUGAAUUCAUACAAAUUUAAUUUACAAAUUAUGUAUUAUGUUCUAGUCUCAUAUUUAUUUAUUUAAUUGCAAAAAUUAUUUUUACAAGGAUAUAGUAUUGUUCACAUAAUCUAUGACGAUGAUUAACACGUAUCAAAGCUCUUGUUUAUAGGCCCCUUGUUGCUCGCACCUAACACUUCGUAACCAAGUACGAUAUCCGGUGCAUCACUAUUACGAAAAGAGCGUGUUAUCAGGAGGCAUUAGAAGGUCGUCAUCGUAUUCAUGUUCUUCGACACCAAUGGUAGUCUAACACUGGUCCGUCGAAUUGCAUGGCGGUUACCUCGAUUCAACCAGUGCAAUAGGAUCGGGCCUAUGACGAGUCUGCAAGUGGAAGAAAGAGGGGGCGAGCGGUAGCGCGGGUGAGAGUGUCGACUAAGGACUCCUGGGUAGUGAUGUGUGCGACGCCUUAUUAGCGAUGGGAGCAAUACCCUCUUGAUCCGUUUUCGAUACUCUAACAAACGACUUAAGAUCAAUUAUGAAUACCGCCGAUAACACUUUAGGAAGCCUUCGUAUUUGGAUGAGUCAUUUCAGAAGGUAUUGUCUUAUUAUUUUUUAAUUAUUUCAACAGCAAUAAAUAAGUUUUUCAGAAGACAAACUGGUCAACUGCACUUUUUAUUUAUUUCUUAAUUUCAUUACAAAAGUACUCAUGAGAACGACAUAAAUAAUAAUAAACUUUAAGGUAAAUUUAAAAGAUAGUACUUGUAACAUUAUCACUUCCCUGAACUUUCCAAUUUAUGGAGUUGACCAGCGUACUUCUAUAUAUGUACGUAUGUUUAUUAUUCUCCUUCAGAUUACAAAGGUUAUACAAUUCAGUAUAAACGAAAGGAGGCGUUUACGUAUUUCUAAAUAGUUUAAAUAUGUAUAUACUUACAUAUAUUUCUAUAGUUUUAUUACUAGACUACGGAUAUUUAUGCAGAUUCGCAUUUUUAUAAAUAUCUAAUUUCAAAAAUAGAAUCUAUAUGCAUUAAUACAGCUACAAAUUUCCUAUAAAUGUAAAAAAACCCGCAUUUUAUUUAUUACUAAUUUAAUUCCAAUUUUUCUUACAAACAUCUUCACUUAUUUUAAUC